AAAAAGGGCUCUGUUAUGAAUGGCACACAUAGGACAACUCAAUUGCUCUUCGUGCAAAAUAAACAUUAAGAGAUUUCAGAAGCAUAAUUUUUUUGGUAGGUGGGCAGCUGGUGAUCAUUGGUCCCAGCACCUUU